UAUCACGCUUAGCCUUGUUUCCCGCGGACUCAUUUAGGUGACGCACCAUCCCAUGUGCAAUAGAGCAAACAGCAUGUCACGACUUAGUUAAGGUAUAAAGACACACGGAAGAAAAACAGUAGCUACGAUUCAUUGCUGUAGUCUUUACGAUCUAGGGGACACAGUGAAACGGAUGUGAUGUUGUAAUCACAGGUUAUAUUGAUGUCAGAUUGAACAAUGCUGCUUGCAGUGAGGUUCAGCUUCCUUCAUGGGCGUGUGAGACACUGUUUAUCAUCUCAAGCACUGGGUACACAAUGGAAAAGGAGCUACAGUUUCCCUCAAGACGAUGUUAAGUCGCCUCGAGCAGUGGUCAACCCGGACAUCUCAAAAAUCCGUAACAUCGGCAUCAUGGCCCACAUCGAUGCCGGGAAAACCACCACCACGGAGAGGAUGCUCUAUUAUUCUGGGUACACACGUGCUCUUGGCGAUGUGGAUGAUGGAGACACUGUGACUGAUUAUAUGGCCCAGGAGAGAGAGCGUGGAAUUACAAUCCAAUCAGCUGCAGUCACCUUCGACUGGAAAGAGCACAGAAUUAACCUCAUUGACACGCCAGGCCAUGUAGACUUUACUCUGGAAGUUGAGAGAGCUCUGCGUGUGCUGGACGGAGCAGUGGCUGUGUUUGAUGCCUCAGCCGGAGUGGAGGCGCAAACCAUGACCGUGUGGCGACAGGCAGAGAAACACAACAUCCCCUGUGUGUGCUUCCUAAAUAAGAUGGAUAAACCUGGAGCCAGCAUGAGUUACUCUGUAGAAAGCAUCAAGAUGAAACUGAGGGCCAACCCCAUAGUCCUUCAACUUCCCGUCGGCUCUGGAAAGGGAUUUAUCGGAUUGGUGGAUUUGAUCACCAGGCAGCAAAUGACGUGGCGGGGAACGUCGUUGGCCGAUAACGGGCGGGCUUUUGAGACGAGAUCACUCCAGCCCACAGACGACCCACAAUUCCUAGAGGAAGUCAAUCAAGCCAGAGCAACUCUUAUAGAACAGGUUGCAGAUUUGGAUGACGAAUUUGCUGAGCUGCUCCUUGGAGAAUAUGGUGACAACUUUGACUCGGUGCCUGCUGGGAAAUUGCAGGAGGCGCUGAGGCGAGUGACGACGUCUCGUAAAGGAGUGCCGGUGCUGUGUGGAAGUUCACUGAAGAAUAAAGGAGUUCAGCCUCUACUAGACGCCAUCACAGCAUACCUCCCUGCUCCUGACGAAAGGAACCACGACCUGGUACGCUGGUACAAGGAUGACUUAUGUGCUCUGGCGUUUAAAGUGGUCCAUGACAAGCAGAGAGGUCCUCUGGUUUUCUUGAGAAUCUACUCCGGCUCUAUGAAACCGCAGACAGCAGUGUACAAUAUCAACCGUAACGGAACAGAGAGAAUGAGUCGUCUCCUGCUGCCGUUUGCAGAUCAGCACAUCGAAAUCCCCUCUGUGUCUGCAGGGAACAUCGCCCUCGCUGUGGGACUCAAACAGACGGUGACGGGUGACACCAUCGUCUCGUCUAAAGCCUCAGCAUCGGCCGCGGUGCGCCGGGCGCACAACAAGGCAGAGGGGAAGAGAACGUCUAGCCGAGAGCCGCAGAACAGUCUGCUACUUGCUGGGGUUGAGGUGCCUGAACCCGUCUUCUUCUGCUCUAUAGAGCCUCCUUCCAUGGCCAAGCAAGCAGAUCUUGAGCAUGCUCUGAACUGCCUCCAGAGGGAAGACCCCAGUCUGAAAGUCAGGACAGACCCAGACUCUGGACAGACAGUUCUGUGUGGUAUGGGAGAGCUUCACAUCGAGAUUCUGCACGAUCGCAUUCGGAGGGAAUACAAACUCGAAACGCACUUGGGGCCUCUACAGGUUGCCUACAGAGAGACCAUUAACCAAUCAGUAACCACGACAGACACUCUGGAUCGCACGCUGGGUGAAAAGAGGCACAUUGCGAGCGUAGAGCUGACCGUGAGUCCCUGGGAAGCGUGCGCUCCAGGCACGUCGUCAUGUCACAUGACUUAUGAUGAGGAAGUAGAAGCACAAAUCUCUGCUGACAUUAAAGCGGCGGUGGACAGUGGCGUUCAGAGUGCCUAUCUCCAGGGUCCCGUACUGGGUUACCCUGUGCAGGGGGUUCUCACCGAGAUCCACAGUGUGUGUGUGGAACCAGGUACCUCUCUGGCCAUGGUGUCAGCCUGUGUGUCUCGCUGCAUGCUUAAGGACCUCUCAAGCUCCAUCAGAUUGAUUGCAGAGCGUCUGCAAAGCCAUUUUCAGAUCUCUCCAGAGAUGUCCAGUAGGGUUCAUGUCUGGGCUCUAGCUCAGAGUUGUCCCGUAGCCACUCCUUUAUUAUCUUGGCUGUAUGCUUAGGGUUAUUGUUUUGUUGGAAGAUGAACCUUUGCCUCAAUCUGAGGUCCAGAGCUCUCUGGAGCAGGUUUUCAUCAAGGACGUCUUUGUAUAUUCAUUCUUCCCUCGAUCCUGAUUAGUCUCCCAGUUUCUGCUGCUGAAAAACAUCCCCACAGCUUGAUGCUGCCACCACUAUGCUUCACUGUAGGGAUGGAAUUGGCCCUGUGAUGAGCGGUGCCUGCUUUCUUCCAGACGUGACACUUGCUAUUCAGGCCAAAGAGUUCAAAGUAUUUUGUUUGAGUCCUUCAGGCGCCCUUUGGCAAACUCCAGGCAGCCCAUCAUAUCCCUUUUACUGAGGAGUGUCUUCCGUCUGGCCACUCUACUAUACAGGCCUGAGUGGUGGAGUGCUGCACUGAUGGUUGUUUUCAUAGAAAAAUGAUGGAGCUCUGUCAGAGUGAAGUUUGGGUUCUUGAUCAUCUCCCUGACUAAGGCCCUUCUUCCCUGAUCACUCAGUUUGGCUGGGCGAAUUCUGGUGGUUCCAAACUUUAACCAUUUAAGGAUGAUAGAUGUCACUGUCCUCAUUGGGACCUUCAAUGCUGCAAUAAAAAUUUCUGUACCCUUCCCCAGAUCUGUGCCUCAAUACAAUCCUGUCUCUGAGGUCUACAGACAAUUCCUUGGACUUCAUGGCUUGGUUUGUGCUCAAACACGUGCAUUGUGCACUGUGGGAACUUAUAGACAGGUGUGUGCCUUUCCACAUCAUGUCCAAUCAACUAAAUGUACUGCAGCUGGACUCCAAUCAAGUUGUAGAAACAUCUCAAGGAUGAUUAGUGGACACAGGAUGCAGCUGCGCUCAAUUUUGUGUGUCAUGGUAAAGGGGCUGAAACAGGCUGACGGGCAAGUCUUAGAG